rnacentral:rRNA from 1 species
UACGUAGGGCGCAAGCGUUAUCCGGAAUUAUUGGGCGUAAAGAGCUCGUAGGCGGUUUGUCGCGUCUGCCGUGAAAGUCCGGGGCUCAACUCCGGAUCUGCGGUGGGUACGGGCAGACUAGAGUGAUGUAGGAGAGACUGGAAUUCCUGGUGUAGCGGUGAAGUGCGCAGAUAUCAGGAGGAACACCGAUGGGCGAAGGCAGGUCUCUGGGCAUUAACUGACGCUGAGGAGCGAAAAGCAUGGGGGAGCGAACAGG